rnacentral:rRNA from 1 species
AACUUUCAACCACGAUCUCUUGGCUCUCGCAUCGAUGAAGAACGCAGCGAAAUGCGAUAAGUAAUGUGAAUUACAGAAUUCAGUGAAUCAUCGAAUCUUUGAACGCACCUUGCGCCUCUUGGUAUUCCGAGAGGCAUGCCUGUUCGAGUGUCA